rnacentral:rRNA from 1 species
UGGGGAAUCUUGGACAAUGGGCGCAAGCCUGAUCCAGCCAUGCCGCGUGAGUGAUGAAGGCCUUAGGGUUGUAAAGCUCUUUUGCCGGGGACGAUAAUGACGGUACCCGGAGAAUAAGUCCCGGCUAACUUCGUGCCAGCAGCCGCGGUAAUACGAAGGGGACUAGCGUUGUUCGGAAUCACUGGGCGUAAAGCGCACGUAGGCGGAUUUGUAAGUCAGGGGUGAAAUCCCGGGGCUCAACCUCGGAACUGCCUUUGAUACUGCGGAUCUCGAGUCCGAUAGAGGUGAGUGGAAUUCCUAGUGUAGAGGUGAAAUUCGUAGAUAUUAGGAAGAACACCGGUGGCGAAGGCGGCUCACUGGAUCGGUACUGACGCUGAGGUGCGAAAGCGUGGGGAGCAAAGAGGAUUAGAUACCCAAGUAGUCCCUGAGCGGGCUGGCAAGGCGCAU